rnacentral:lncRNA from 1 species
UUUGUUUUUCACAGAAAAGAUAUUCAUGUGGAACUCCGUGCCGGUUGGGGUCCUUUAUUUUAGAUGUCAGUUGAUGUCGAAGGUCAAGCAAUAGCCUUCACUUUACUGUUUGAAGGUCGGCUUUGGAUCCAUGAGAAAAUUGAAGUCACGAGGUGAAUUGCUGCCUUGACAGUUGCGGAGAAGAAUGAAGACAGAGAGUCAUAGUAUCCCAGGCUCAGAAGCUGCUGCUGGAGCCAGUAACUGGUCCAACAGGGAAGAACUGGAAAUGCAGAGAAGGAAGCACACUUCCAUCUACAAAAGCCAGAGACAUGUCUUGCAAGAAGUUGCUGUGGCUGGGGUCAAAGAGGUUACUGCUUGUGUUCUCCUCCAGGGUUUUGAUGGGUUCCUGUCUCACACUGAGGUCUUUCAUCCAUUUUGAGUUUAUUUUGUAUACGGUGUAAUAAAAUAGUCCAGUUUCAUUUUUCUGAUGUGGCU